GCACAGUUGAAGAGUCCCAUAAUAGGACGAAAUGGCCGUCCAGUUC
rnacentral:hammerhead_ribozyme from 1 species